rnacentral:rRNA from 1 species
UACAGAGGGUGCAAGCGUUAAUCGGAAUUACUGGGCGUAAAGCGUGCGUAGACGGUCAUGUAAGUCGGGUGUGAAAGCCCCGGGCUCAACCUGGGAAUUGCAUUCGAGACUGCAUGGCUAGGGUGCGGAAGAGGGAAGCGGAAUUUCCGGUGUAGCGGUGAAAUGCGUAGAUAUCGGAAGGAACACCAGUGGCGAAAGCGGCUUCCUGGUCCAGCACCGACGUUCAGGCACGAAAGCGUGGGGGAGCAAACAGG